ACGGAGAAAGUUGUUGUGUGCGUGUGUGUGUGUUUUUAACAGACAUAAACUAAUACAUUCUGAUUUUGGUUUAAGACCUGGCACGUGAAAGCUGUUGCCUGGUUUUUAUUGUAUCAGAGUGCUACUGAUGUUUUCUCAGGAGAGCUAAAAUUCAGGGUUUCUACAUGGUUUCCCGUUACAACUCCAUUGCUCCAGGCUAAAGACCAGUUGUGGUCCAGAAACUGGGGUGCUGUCUCCCAAGCGUUAAGUCGUAGAGAUGCCUAAAAUGUCUGCUUGCCAUUGUCUAUGGUGGGUUGUGGUUGUGAACUUCACCUAAGCAGCUGGGGCCAGAAUGGGGAGAGACCUAUGAAGUUACUACUUGUCUUUGUGGACAGAAGACAUGUCAAUGUCCCAGAGUACUGAGAAGUCAACUGCUUCUCUCCUUUCUUUCCUUAGCAAAAGGAAAUGCUGGACGAGGAGAGGAUGAUGAGGCACCUAAUUGUGGAUAGGAAAACCCAAGGCUUAAGGAGACAAGGAACCCCUGAUGGGAAAAAAAUGUUUUAGCUUCCUUUAUCAUUGCUAAAUAAAAUGGAAAAGAGAGUUCUCCGUUUCCAGGCUUGGGAAGUGACUUGUCGACCCUGCCCUGAGAGCCUGCUCGAGAAGGUUGGCAAACGCUCCUCGUCCUGCUGUGAAUCCCUCAGGCUUGUGAGGGACGACAGAUGGUUGAGCUAAACUCGGAGCCACCCCUCUACAUAAUGAAGAAAAAUGACCAGCCUCCUGAGAACCCUGACUAAUGCGCCAUGAGAGCACACGCGAUGGGGAGAGUGAAGAGGAAAGAACACUGAGACGUAAUGCUGUUUAAAGGGUGUGAAGAAGAGGAGGGAUGUUAGUGACUCCUGAGUAGCAUCACCCGUUUCAAGAAUAUCCGUGCCGACAGCCCGAUUGAAAUUGACGUAAAUGUGUGAGAAGAGGAAGAGGAACGUGAUCAUAUUGUGUAGGCCAGUCAUCUCCGCCAGGCUUGGUCUUACGAAGAUCAUCAAAGAAGGUGGGUUGAUGCCAAGUGACAAGUCAGUUGCUGACAUGCCUGUGUGCACAACAUAGACACGUGCACAGUGCAGCCCUCAGCCACACAGUCUUGGGCUACACUAGCUGAACUCUUGCCUUUUUUUUUUUUUUAAGAUUUUAUUUAUUUAUUUUAGAGCGAGAGAGAGUCCACAUGUGCGAGCAAGGGGAGGAGCAGGGGGAGAAGGACAAACAGACUCCCUGCUGAGCGCAGAGCCCAAUGCGGGUCUCAAUCCACCCCAAAAUCAUGACCUGAGCUGAAAUCAGGAGUCAGACGCUUAACUGGCUGCACCACCCAGUGCCCCUGAACUCUGCUUUGAAGGAUCAGUUUGGGAGAGAAGAAUUCAAGCAAAUAUUCCAUCCUGCUUUGCCUAGCUCCUGACUAGCCUCCAUGUUUGGAAGGAAGGAAGAGUGUGGUAUAGAGCAACGGGAGUAAGGCGUCAACCAUGGCAGCCAGUCCUCCUCUUCGGCUCACUGGCACCAAGACAGCGGCUCAGAGUUCUUCCUUAUGCUGAAUUCACUGUCUCUUCUUUGGAUGGGGAUGUCAUCUGCCUAAACUGUGUGGAUUGCAUAUGUUAUCAUGGGCCGGUGCUAAAGGAGGUCAGACAGGAAGACAAAGGCAGAGCGAGACCUCAACUCUUAAAACAUCAGUGCACUCUUGGGCAAGUGACUUCAGUUCUCCGUGUCUUACUUUCCUCUGUUAAAUGAAGGCUUUGGUGUAGACUCCUCAUUUGUCCCCACUGUGAUGUCAGAAAAUAUGUGUGAGACUUAAUAGAGUGUGUUCACGCAUGCACACAUACGAAUGUAUUCCUACAUCUGUUUCACAAACAUCCAGUUCUCACUAAUCUGAAGUUACCUAAACAAGGUCACAAUAAGGCCAUGGUCUCUUUAUUUGCUGAGUCACAAAGGAUCUUAACCUCCACCUGUUCCCCAGAUUUCCCCGGGGUCCCCCAGGCUUGCAACACUUGUAAGAAGGAGUUCUCCUCCUUAUUUGUUGCCUCUUUCCAGGAGAAUUGAAAAUCUGACACAGCCCUUAAGGCUGCCUGCCAUAAAUGUGGACAUCUGGGCAAGUAAUGAGAUUCAUGCCGGAACCUUGGAAGUCCUGCUUUCCCAGGGCCUUGCUUGAGUCCCCGGAGACCUAAGUGUACGUGUGCACAGCUUCUCUCUGUGGAUGUGGCCCUAUUAACCAUCCCGCAUCAUUUCCAACCUCUGACCCCUUCAGGCACACUGCUGUAGCCACCCUGGCCUCUUUGCUGUUCUUGACCAUGCCAAGCAUACUCCCACCUUAGGGCCUUGGGACUUGCUGUGUAUUCUGCAUGGAGUAAUGGCUACUCUUGUCCAGUAUCAUAUAGUAGUUCUUUCAUUUCUCUUAGGUCUCUGCUUACGUGUCACUUCCGUAGAGAAGCAUUUGCUGAAGACCCCAUAUAAAAUAACAACCUAAGUAUCUUUUUUUCAUACCUGGCUUUAUUUUCUUCAUGGUAUACCUGGCAUUGUUCUUUUUGGCUAUUGGCUAUCUCUGCAGGCUAGAAUGUGAGCUCCAGGGGUCCAGGGGUACUGUUCAGCGCUCUGUCCUCAGCACCUGGAACAGUACCUGGCCCAGGGCAGGUGGGUAAUACAUGUUUUUCAAAUGAAUGAAAGUCUAAAUGAGCAAACAGGGUGCAUGUGUAGCUCCAAGAGUUGUCUCUCUGGGUGAUACACUCUUUCACCUCAUUUGUGUCAUAAUUGAGAAAGAAAAGAGUCCCAUUUUUGUGGAGUUUAUAUUCUAGUGGUAGAGGCAGAUUUUGUAAGUACGUACAGUCUUGGGGAGCCUGGGCAGAGCCGUCAGUGAAGCAUUCAGCUCUUGGUUUUGGCUCAGGUCAUUAUCUCACAGUCGAGCCCCACAUUGGGCUCCGUGCUCGGCAUGGAGUCUGCUUAAUAUUCUCCCACUCCCUCUCCCCCUCCCUCUGCACUCCCCCCUUGCAAAUAAAGUAUGUACCUUCUUUAAUUUCAGAUGUCAGCAAGUGCUUUGAAGAAAAUAAAGCAGAGAAAUAGGAAAGCGUGGCUGGGUGGGAAUGACGGAAAUUCUCUUAACAUGGGGUGGAGAGCAAAGGCCUCCGGGCAGGUGAAGAACUGGGGGAAUUGCAUGUGUAAAGCCGCCGAGGUUGGAAUACGUUUAGUGUAUUUGAGCAACACAGAGCAAGCGUGGCUGGAGCUUAGUGAAUGGGAAGGAAAGCACUAGGAGUUUGGCUGGGGGCCUGGAGGUCCAGUCAUUUAGGAUCUUGCAGGCCACGGUGAGGUUAGACUUUAUUAUAUGGGUCAUGAGAAGUCAUCCUUGGAACCACCAGAAGUGGUACCCAUUUCAGGAUACAUAGCGUGUACCUUGCCUGUAAGUCCCCUGUACUUGCCACAGCUCUGGGGUCUGGUUACAUAAUCAAGGGCCCCGCCUUCUGGAGAAUCUCUUUUCUGAGCAUGCAUGAUGUCCUUUUCCAUCAUCUGUUUUUGGUUACAAGACAGUCCAUCACACAAGUUUUUAAAUAAAUAUUUUUGACAUUCACCUGGGGAGAGUCAAGGUCCCAUUCCUCAUUUCCCCCUUAAUACCAAUGCAUAAGGAAGGAGAUGAUACUUCGGGGUCUGUACUGCAGACCAUGCCCUUGAACUGCUUAAAAUGUUAGUUUGUGCUUAUAUAAAACGUUCUCUGUCUCUCUCUUGCUCUCUUGGGUCUAAAUGUCUGUACGUCUUCUGCUUUUCUGGUAGAAGACCCUUUUUACUUCCUGCAUUGGAUUUUUAGUGUAAGACUGCUUAUAUUCGUCUACUGGUUCAGCAAAUUUCCAUGAUUUUAAGCCACUGAUAAGAACUUUCUGGCACAGGAAUUCUAGAGAUGUACAAUUUAUGGAAUCUCAGGUUUGGAAAAAUCCUUAAAGAUUUCCACCUUUAAAUGCUGUUUCUAGUAGGAACAGGUGAUUGGGGUAACCAUUUUGCUUAUUUCUUAAAAUCUUGUUAGGCCUAUACUUUAAUAGUCUUUCAGGUGGUUGACCCAAAUCCAAUGCAUUAUAGCCAACUGCCCAGUGGCAAAUGUGGCUGAAGUGGCCUGGCAUUAAACCAGAAUAGUGGUAACUCUUUCCAAAUCUACAGGGGAAAAAUUACCAUUUUAGAGAAAAUAAUUUCCUUAAAAUCUUCUCCCAAAAUUCAUUCUUAAACUUUGAUGCCCACUACCACUUGUCUGUCUGGUAGCAAGCGCUAGCAGAUGACCAAAGAAAUGAACAAACAGCAAAUGAAUAUUAAUGGAAAAAUUCUGAAACAGUUGAUCAUGCCUGGUUUGACAGCUUGUUUCUUUGUGGACAUGUGGGCUCCCGGUUCCACAUAUAGAAUUUUUCUCCUAGUAAAAUUGUGCGUGCUUCAUCUGAUGGAGCUCUCACUACGGUGAUAUUUUAAGGUGGUUGGCAGAGCAGGGCGUUUUGCAAAGAGCAUUCUUUAUUCCAGGUUCUCCUUUUUCAUAACUUUGAGAACCAUUCCGUUUCAGGGAUCAGCUGAGGUCUCUUAGGAAGUCCCCAAAUCAGCUUCUGCCUCUCAGCCACCAGAACUUUAGAAUGUUUUUGCCAGUUUUUAUAAGACUAUGUGAAGACGUGGUUACUUCACGGCAUCCAUGCGUGGAAGUCCAUGUUCAUUUACUCAUGUAUUCAGCAAAAGUGGCCUCCACGGUGUUGUGCUGAGCUGUCCUUUGUCAGCUUGAAAUCACCUUCAUGCACCCCUGCGGGCUUGUGGAGGAGAGGUUGGAACCGUAUGUCCCAGGAUCCCCUUCCCUGUGUGGUUCCAAGUGGGAGUCUGCCAAUGAGAACUACCCAGGUGAGAUUUAGGAGAUGGGGAGAAAAAGAGGCCAUGUAGGCAGUCUAGGCAGAUGCAUGGACAGGUGGCAGACUCAAGCCUUACAGAAGCUUCUGGCAAGCUCCUGUGAGUUACCUGCUUUGUGCUGUAGCCAGUGGAGAUAGUGUGACUAUUUCUGAGUCCUUGAUUGAGUGUUGCCAGCUGAUGGAGGCAGCGGGGGCUUCCUGGAGGUUCUUGACUUUUAGUAGCUUCUUGGGAACCACCUGUUUUCCCUGCUGCAGGCAGGGAUCUUCAGCGAUGCUUAUCGGUUCUUAGCCAGCCAUUCCAAUGAUUGUGCAAACUUCUGAGCGCCUCUAUUCGAACCCUUCCUAUUUGGAACACUUAGAGGUUGGAAGUUUAGAAACUGGAGUGGGGUUGGUCCUGUCAGCCAUUUGACUGCUGCUGACCUCCACAGUCCCGUAGGAUAUCAUCAGAUGGGUCAGAUCCAUCCUUCGACCGGCCUAAUAAUCCCCUUUGACAGCACCAUCUUUGUGAAAGACAGUCUCUCCCUAUCGCGUAAAUCUCAGAGGACUGGAGAAGACACUAAUCUGCUCAGAUUUGACAUCCUUGGACUUAUCAGACCCUUCUUGAACCUGUUUACAUUUUCAGUGUUACCAGCACUUGGGAAAUAGUUCCACUUGCCUUCUCUUAUUUUUCCUCAUCACUGUUGGCUCUCCUGUCAGACUUGGCUGGUAUCACUCUAACAGUUCUUUUGAGACUCCGAGUUAAAUAGACAAAGCAUGGGCAAAUCAGACUUUUUUCUAAGUUUAUACUCUUGCGCCGUAUCUGGGUUAAUUGUGGGACUUACACCCCGAUGUAACAGACAAACACCGCUGUCUCCAAGUUCACUCAACAUGUACCUGAUCGUAUAAAAAUAUCAUCAUCUUAGCUGCUUCACAGAGAAAAAGCAGAGUAGAAGUUCAAACAAAAUAAAUUUUACAGUAGAUGGAAGCAGACUGAGGGAUUAGUUCUGAUUAAUGCUUGCAUAUUUAGUGGAUGCAGGUAGGCUCAGAGAGCCAGCUGGGUCUGUCUCCACCAUCAGUGAAUCCUGCUGCGUGGACCAAGGUCUCUUGUGGUUCAGCAUCAGGUGGGCACUGAUGUUGACAUUCACCUCUGAAGGCCAUGCUUUGUGGCUAACAACCCCCCACUCCUGAUCAACACACGCUUGACACGUUAAAACAUUCAAUCAAGUUGUAGUCAAGUCAUGUUUUAGUCCAUAUUUAGGGCCAGUGUUCUGUUGCAUUACUUUUACGGCCCUACCAGUUUUAAAAAUGUCGAAAAGCUUUCUUCCUAGUGGGUCACCGCCGCUCUGAGUCUUUGUUGUGACAGACUUGAGCUGCACCCCGUGUUGGCCACUUCAGGCCCUGUGACUGUGGGCACUUGACUCUCAUUGGGUCUUAGUGCACUCAUUUAAAAUGGGAUAAUUCAUAGGGUGUUUGUGGAGAUCAAAUGAGGUAAACAUAUAUGCAAAACACAUCAUGCUGAAUUGAUAGCUAAAACCAAAACCACGAAAUAAGCAACUUGCUCUUCAAAUUUCGUAUUCUAAGCAAUGUGAAGGAGAGCUGAGCAGGUGUGCCAGGCCAGUGGCAUGCUUUAUGUUGUGGUAAUUUUCUGUUAGUUUCUGUGAUGGACUUUUAUUUAUGUAUUAGCAUACUGACUGCAGGCCUUCAUGUGUUGUGAAGGUCAUGUCCCAGGAGAAAGGAAAUGGUAUCCAGUGCUUUCCCUUACCACUUCUAGGAAGAGAUGGCCAAGGAGAAUGGACUUUUUAUCCCUAUCCUGUGGCCUGGGAAACCACUCACUUCCUUGGAAAUGGUCCUAGGCCUCCUCAGUUUCCCCAGUGCAGCUGAAUCCUUGCCGGUACCACAGAGACACACAGUAAGGCAGGUGUGAGUCGACCAAGUUGCCACCUGGGCAAGCUCUUCCUCUGGCGGUGAAGCCCCUCCCCCGCCCCCCAGGCUGCAGUCCAUGGCUGCUUACGGAAAUCAGCAACGGGAAACGAUGCCCUUUUAAUAGUAAAGGUUGCAUCGUGUGGUCUUCUGAGUGCCUCUUGAACAGUGAAGCUCGUUUCCUGUACUUUUGUGUUUAGAAUGUAAGAUUCUUGUCUUUAAAGUCCAGGCGACAAAUAAGAGUAACCCCAAAUGCCAGCACAGCUUUGCUUGGCAGAGCCUGCUGAUUGUUGUGCUUCCUUGGGAUUCUAAGGCUCCAGUUAAGGCCUUGAUUGAUUAACAAUAUCCGUAAUGGGUAUGGGAAGGGAUAAGCACAGUGUACCUAUAAUGCAUUUUCCUACCCUACUUUAUAGUCUCUUUGAUUCUUGUGCAGGCAGUAACUUUUUUUUAAGGUACAAGAUGGCAGACUGAAUGAAUUGGAGGAGCUUUUCUUAGGAAAAUGGUAGAAAACAAACUAAAGAGAUACCCAUUCCUAAGCAGAGCGUUCUAUGAUUUCGGAUUAGAGGGUGUAUUGUCGUAUGUGCAGUGUAGGUUCUCUGGUGCUUAUGUCUACAGGCAACGAAAAGAAAAAUAUGUGUUUAAAAUCCAUAAUCAUUAUGCCCUAGCUUUUUUUACCUCUGUCUGCUAAAGUAGGCUAUAUAUGCCUAAAAUUUUCAGUCUUUUUUUUUUUUUUAAACUUUCUUUGGGGGUGUUUGCAUCGUGUUCUCUCCCACAAUGGGAUGCAUUCAUUUCUUCCUUUCCUUACCUCUGUAGCCCUCCGCCUACACUGAUGUGCUGGGAAGCCACUUAAUGGUAUCUUGCUGCUAUAGGUACCCCCGAGAGAAGUUGGAUGUUGGUGCCGAGGAUGCCAUCUCCUGAUGCUCCGAAAGUGUAAAUCCUCCAGGGCUGGUAGAAGUGCUCUUCAGCGGGGAGGUGGCCCCCACCUUCUUCUCUCUGUGUCAUAUUUCGUGUCCUGGGCAUUAAGGCAGCGCUGAACCUGAUGAACCCACAACUUUUGCUUCUGCACGCACACCCUGUCACACAGAAGACUGCUCGCCCAGGGGACUGGCUGAGGUCUAGGGGCCAUGCUGGGCUUCUGUCCCAUGGGUGUGCCCACUGUCUUUCUUGCAAAACUACUUGUGCAAAUUUCCAGUUGAUGGGUCUGUCUCCAAGGGACAUUAGCACUUGGACAGUUACGAGUUUUUGAUGUUUUGGAUCAUGAGUAUUUCAUGAUUUCAGGUUUUCUUCCUAAUUCCUCACAGCCAUUCGAGUAAAAUGUGGUUUUCACAGAGCAUACUGGAAUAGCUGGGGUGUGGAGGAAAGUUUUGACAUUUAGAUUAGACCGUCUUCUUUCAGAUUUCAUUAUAUUCCCUUUUGUUAAUUUCUCCCAUUUGUUAAUUUUUAAUUCAUUCAUGUAUUCAACGUUUAUUGAGCUGCUCUGAUGUACCAGGGAAUAAUAUUGAGUCCUGAACUGAUAAAUAUGAAUACUACAAUCUUGGCCUUCAGAAAGCUUUCACAAUUUUGCAGAGAAUAGGAGAUAAACGUGAACCUGAAAUUCUAUCGAUGAGUGAAAAAUGAAACAUGAAAGCAUUUCUGUCUAGAGAAUAGCCCUAGGGAGGAAAAGAUUAAUCUCAGGUAGAUGAAGGGAAAUAAAUGACUUUAACGUUGCCACCCAGCCCCGGACACUAGUCUCUCUGGGCUGAUGUUGACUUUACCCAGCUCACAGAGGCAUCAUUAGCGAGCACUGGACUGCCAGUACAGUUUAAAAAGUAAAACAACUCUAACAACAUCCUGAGCUGGAGGAAAUCUUAACCGAAAACUGCAAGGAAUAGCUGCCUUGGCAUAAGCUGUGUGGAAUCUUAAAAGGGAGCAGGUUUUGAGGCCAAGAUUUAUGUUCAACAGCUAAUGCUUUAGAGACGGAGUUUAUGUAGAAAAGCUGACUCUGUGUUUGUCCCUUAUGGAUGCAAAUAAGAAGCACAUCUG